rnacentral:rRNA from 1 species
AGGACGAACGCUGGCGGCGCGCUUAAUACAUGCAAGUCGAGCGAGAACCGGACCUUCGGGUCCGGGGAAAGCGGCGAACGGGUGAGUAACACGUGGGUAAUCUGCCCUCGGUACUGGGAUAGCCCGGGGAAACCCGGAUUAAUACCGGAUAGCCUUUCGAGCUCUCGGGCUCGUUAGAAAAUGGUGGCUUCGGCUUCCGACUGAGGAUGAGCCCGCGGCGGAUUAGCUUGUUGUGAGGUAAUGGCUCACCAAGGCUCCGAUCCGUAGCUGGUCUGAGAGGACGAUCAGCCACACUGGGACUGAGACACGGCCCAGACUCCUACGGGAGGCAGCAGUAGGGAAUCUUGCGC